rnacentral:rRNA from 1 species
UGGGGAAUAUUGCACAAUGGGCGCAAGCCUGAUGCAGCCAUGCCGCGUGUGUGAAGAAGGCCUUCGGGUUGUAAAGCACUUUCAGCGGGGAGGAAGGCGAUAAGGUUAAUAACCUUGUCGAUUGACGUUACCCGCAGAAGAAGCACCGGCUAACUCCGUGCCAGCAGCCGCGGUAAUACGGAGGGUGCAAGCGUUAAUCGGAAUUACUGGGCGUAAAGCGCACGACGGCGGUCAGUCAAGUCGGAUGUGAAAUCCCCGGGCUCAACUUGGGGACUGCAUUCGAAACUGGCAGGCUUGAGUCUUGUAGAGGGUGGUAGAAUUCCAGGUGUAGCGGUGAAAUGCGUAGCGAUCUGGAGGAAUACCGGCGGCGAAGGCGGCCCCCUGGACAAAGACUGACGCUCAGGUGCGAAAGCGUGGGGAGCAAACAGG